GAGUUUGUGACCCGAUCUAGAGAAAGACUAUGGCAGAGGAAACUAAGAGGAACUGUGGCAGUGCAUGAGGGUGUCUGGAGUGGCAGAAAAGUAUGUUUGAUGAGCACAGUGUCGUUGUCAUGGUGAUGCCAUGAGUGAGGAAAGAGAUGGAGAGGAUGCAGAAGAUAGGCAUGGAAAAAGAAAAUCAUGUCAGUACUUUCGCGUCGACCUGGGAGUGGCGCAUCUGUCUGUGGGUGCAUGUGACCACAAGGGGGCACUGCAGGUGUACGACGUGAACGCGCAGCACGCACUGGAGCUCCUCAGAGCGCCUCAACAGCAGAGCGCAAUUCAUCCUGAUUGGGAGCGCGCACACACCAGGGUUCAUAAGCAGCAAAGAACCCGAUCCUCUGGUCCAGUGAGCAGCAGCAGCAAACAACACAAUCCUUUCGAUCAGCCAGCAACACAGCAGUAGCAGCGAACCGCACUGAGCUCCACGGAGAAAGGAAGAAAACUCAUGGGAAGAGGAGACCAAAGGGACUACCGGAAAAAGAACUGAACUUUAUCUACAUGGUUUAUUGGUUUAUGUGUUAAAGAACACUAAGCUGCAUUGUUUUAUUUGGAAGAAAAUUGUACCUUUUUGUUUAAACUAAUCCAUUUUUUGAAUGAGUUUAAAGGUUUUUCACCUUGAUUGUUUCGCUCAUUAAAAACCCGAACUAAGAGUGAAA